rnacentral:rRNA from 1 species
GACAGAGGCCUCGAGCGUUUAGGCGGAAUCACUGGGCUUAAAGCGCGUGUAGGCGGAUCGUUAAGUGUCUUGUGAAAUCCCACGGCGUCAAACCGUGGAACUGCUGGGCAUACUGGCGAUCUUGGGCCAUUCAGGGGUUGCCGGAACGAAGCGGUGGAGCGGUGAAAUGCGUAGAUAUCGCUGGAACGCCAAAGGUGAAGACAGGCAAGCUGGGGAUGUGC